rnacentral:rRNA from 1 species
GUGCCAGCCGCCGCGGUAAUACGAAGGGGGCUAGCGUUGUUCGGAAUCACUGGGCGUAAAGGGCGCGUAGGCGGCUUGGCAAGUCAGGUGUGAAAGGCCUGGGCUCAACCCAGGAACUGCACUUGAGACUGCCUCGCUUGAGUCCGGGAGAGGAUGGCGGAAUUCCCAGUGUAGAGGUGAAAUUCGUAGAUAUUGGGAAGAACACCGGUGGCGAAGGCGGCCAUCUGGACCGGUACUGACGCUGAGGCGCGAAAGCGUGGGGAGCAAACAGGAUUAGAUACCCCCGUAGUCC